rnacentral:rRNA from 1 species
AUUGAACGCUGGCGGAAUGCUUUACACAUGCAAGUCGAACGGCAGCACGGGGGUAACCCUGGUGGCGAGUGGCGAACGGGUGAGUAAUACAUCGGAACGUGCCCAAUCGUGGGGGAUAACGUAGCGAAAGCUACGCUAAUACCGCAUACGAUCUACGGAUGAAAGCGGGGGAUCGCAAGACCUCGCGCGAAUGGAGCGGCCGAUGGCAGAUUAGGUAGUUGGUGGGGUAAAGGCUCACCAAGCCAACGAUCUGUAGCUGGUCUGAGAGGACGACCAGCCACACUGGGACUGAGACACGGCCCAGACUCCUACGGGAGGCAGCAGUGGGGAAUUUUGGACAAUGGGCGCAAGCCUGAUCCAGCCAUUCCGCGUGCAGGAUGAAGGCCUUCGGGUUGUAAACUGCUUUUGUACGGAACGAAACGGCCCUUCCUAAUACAGAGGGCUAAUGACGGUACCGUAAGAAUAAGCACCGGCUAACUACGUGCCAGCCGCCGCCGUAA